GGAGACGUAGCUCAACGGGUCAGAGCGCCGGUUUGAAAUGCCGGUAGUGGUGGUUCGAGUCCAUCCGUCCCCGCCA
rnacentral:tRNA from 1 species